GAUAACGCGCAUCAGCUCUUCAGUCACUUCUCGAGAGCGGCCUAGACCUGGACCAGCAAGAUGGACUUCAAGGGAAAAGUGGUUAUCAUCACCGGCGCAAGCAGCGGAAUUGGGGCGGCUACGGCAAAGUAUCUGGCGGAACUUGGCGCCUCGCUCGUGUUGACGGGAAGAAACAUCGAAAAUCUACAAAAGGUCGGCCAGGAAUGUGAAGCCACUGGGAAGGCCAAGCUGUUGCUGGUUGUGGCGGACGUUUGCAGUGAGGACGAUAACGUGCAAGUUGUUGGCGAAACCGUUAAGAAGUUUGGCUAACUGGACGUUCUGGUCAACAAUGCGGGGAAAGGAGUCAUGGGCAGCAUCGAGACAACUAGUUUGAGCCAGUUUGACGAUAUUAUGAACACCAACCUGCGGGGACCUUAUCAAGAGCAAGGGGAACAUCGUGAACGUAUCGUUCGUGGCCGGGACCAGAUCGUUCUCCGGAAGUUUGGCGUAUUGCAUUUCGAAGGCCGCGCUGGACCAGUUCACGAGAUGUGUGGCGUUGGAGUUGGCGCCGAAGGGAGUUCGGGUCAACUCGGUGAACCCGGCGGUCAUCAUAACGGAUUUCCAGCGACGGCUUGGAAUGGAUGAUCCGACGUACGAGGCGUACCUGAAGCACUCGGACAGUGUUCACGCCAUGGGACGCGUUGGAAGGGCAUCGGAAGUGGCGGCGGCCAUUGCCUUUAUUGGCUCGGAUGCGGCCAGCUUUACCACCGGAAGUCAGCUUUGCGUGGAUGGGGGCAAGAAUGUCAUGUGUCCGCGGUAAUGCCAAUAAAUUUCAAAU